rnacentral:tRNA from 1 species
UUAGAAGAAGCCAAUGGAUUAGGCGAUUUAUUGUUAAUAAAUUAUUAGAGUACAUUUAUUCCUUCUAAA